GUAGGUGAACCUGCGGAAGGAUCAUUAACACGUAUCCACGUAUAACCCCUGUGCAUUUGUAUUGUGUGCGAUCUACAGCGGGAGUGCUUACGGCGAUAUGGUGAGCCCUCUUCGGGGGGUCGGUCCGUAAGCUAGGGUCUUUCACGUCAGUGUCAGAACCCAGGCUGCCUGCUGUGGGAUGCAUUCACCAUGGUUGUUUUUCCCCACUUUAACACCUUGUAAAUAUUUUUAACUGAUUCUAAUGUGCAUCGUCCUUUCGGGGAUUGAUGAGCAUUAUUUACGAAACUAAGUACAAUUCUUAGCAACGGAUAUCUUGGUUCUC
rnacentral:misc_RNA from 1 species